rnacentral:rRNA from 1 species
GUAGGUGGCAAGCGUUGUCCGGAAUUAUUGGGCGUAAAGCGCGCGCAGGCGGUUCUUUAAGUCUGAUGUGAAAGCCCACGGCUCAACCGUGGAGGGUCAUUGGAAACUGGAGAACUUGAGUACAGAAGAGGAAAGCGGAAUUCCACGUGUAGCGGUGAAAUGCGUAGAGACGUGUAGGAACACCAGUGGCGAAGGCGGCUUUCUGGUCUGUAACUGACGCUGAGGCGCGAAAGCGUGGGGAGCAAACAGGGAUUAGAUACCCUGGUAGUCCACGCCGUAAACGAUGAGUGCUAAGUGUUAGGGGGUUUCCGCCCCCUUAGUGCUGCAGCUAACGCAUUAAGCACUCCGCCUGGGGAGUACGGCCGCAAGGCUG